rnacentral:rRNA from 1 species
GACGAACGCUGGCGGCGUGCCUAACACAUGCAAGUCGAGCGGGAACCUCUUGAGGGGUAACCCUUGAGAGGGGAGAGCGGCGAACGGGUGAGUAACACGUGGGCAUCCUGCCCCGGACACCGGGAUAACCCAGGGAAACCUGAGCUAAUACCGGAUACUCCGGCGUGAUCGCAUGGUCGCGCCGGGAAAGCUCCGACGGUCCGGGAUGGGCCCGCGGCCUAUCAGCUUGUUGGUGGGGUAACGGCCCACCAAGGCGACGACGGGUAGCUGGUCUGAGAGGACGGCCAGCCACACUGGGACUGAGACACGGCCCAGACUCCUACGGGAGGCAGCAGUGGGGGAUCUUGCGCUAAUGCGCGAAAGCGUGACGCAGCGACGCCGCGUGGGGGAUGAAGGCCCUCGGGUUGUAAACCCCUUUCGGCAGGGACGAAGCGAAAGUGACGGUACCUGCAGAAGAAGUCCCGGCUAACUACGUGCCAGCCGCCGCGGUAAGAC